UACAGAGGGGGCGAGCGUUGUUCGGAAUUACUGGGCGUAAAGGGCGCGUAGGCGGCCGACUAAGUCAGACGUGAAAUCCCCAGGCUCAACCUGGGAACUGCGUCUGAUACUGGAUGGCUUGAGUUCGGGAGAGGGAAGUGGAAUUCCAGGUGUAGCGGUGAAAUGCGUAGAUAUCUGGAGGAACACCGGUGGCGAAGGCGGCUUCCUGGACCGACACUGACGCUGAGGCGCGAAAGCCAGGGGAGCAAACGGG
rnacentral:rRNA from 1 species